rnacentral:rRNA from 1 species
AUGAAUAUCCUUGUCUGGAACUUUCGAGGACUGGGGUUGGACUCGACGGUUGGCGAACUGGGAGACCUGAUCAGGUCCUACAACCCAGAGGUGGUGUUCUUAUCAGAAACAAAGAAGAAGGCUCGUGCAAUGGAAAGACUCAAGUGGAGUCUAGGGUUCAGGAGUGGGGUAGCAGUUGACUGCCAGGGCUUGAGUGGAGGUCUUGCGCUGUGGUGGAGAGACAAUGUGCAAGUU